rnacentral:rRNA from 1 species
CCUACGGGUGUCAGCAGUGAGGAAUAUUGGUCAAUGGGCGCGAGCCUGAACCAGCCAAGUCGCGUGAGGGAAGACGGUCCUAUGGAUUGUACACCUCUUUUGUCGGGGAGCAAAAGACGCCACGCGUGGCGUUCCGAGAGUACCCGAAGAAAAAGCAUAGGACAACCCCGUGCCAGCAGCAGCGGUAAUAUGGAGGAGGUGAGCGUUAUCGGGAUUUACUGGGUUAAAAGGGGGCGCAGGCGGAAGAUCAAGUCAGCGGUAAAAUUGAGGGGCUCAACCUCUUAGAGCCGUUGAAACUGGUUUUCGUGAGUGAGCGAGAGGUAAGCGGAAUGCCGGGUGUAGCGGUGAAAUGCAUAGAUAUCACGCAGAACACCGAUUGCGAAGGCAGCAAACAGGCACUCAACUGACGCUCAUGCGCGAAAGUGUGGGUAUCGAACAGGAUUAGAUACCCGGGUAGUC